GACGCACAUUGCGCCCUUUGGUAUUCCGAAGGGCAUGCCUGUUCGAGCGUCAUUGCACCCCUCAAGCAUUGCUUGGUAUUGGGCUUCGCCCCUGUGGCGGGCCUGGAAUGCAGUGGCGGUCCAGCGAGACUUCAAGCGUAGAAAGAUUGCACGAUCCAGCUUUGGAAGGUUCCUGCUGCGUGCAGGCCAGAUAACCACAAUUUCUAUCAAUGAUUGACCUCGGAUAAGGUAGGGAUACCCGCUGAACUUAA
rnacentral:misc_RNA from 1 species